ACCUGGCUGGCUCAGUCAGUAGAGCAUGUGACUGUUAAUCUCAGCGUUGUGAGUUCAAGCCCCAUGUUGGGUG
rnacentral:tRNA from 1 species